rnacentral:rRNA from 1 species
UACAGAGGUCUCAAGCGUUGUUCGGAUUCAUUGGGCGUAAAGGGUGCGUAGGCGGCGCGGUAAGUCGGGUGUGAAAUCUCGGAGCUUAACUUCGAAACUGCAUUCGAUACUGCCGUGCUUGAGGACUGGAGAGGAGACUGGAAUUUACGGUGUAGCGGUGAAAUGCGUAGAUAUCGUAAGGAAGACCAGUGGCGAAGGCGGGU